ensembl:rRNA 5S_rRNA 5S ribosomal RNA
AAUGGCCAUACCACCCCGAAUGUGCCUGAUCUCAGAAACUAAGCAGGCUUGGGCCUGGUUAGCACUUGGAUGGGAGAAGUUGUGGAUGCUCAAGAUACAUGCUAUUU